rnacentral:rRNA from 1 species
AGUGAACGCUGGCGGUAGGCCUAACACAUGCAAGUCGAACGGCAGCACAGUAAGUGCUUGCUGUUCUGGGUGGCGAGAGGCGGGCGGGUGAGGAAUACAUCGGACUCUACUCUUUCGUGGGGGCUAACGUAGGUGAACUUACUCUAGUACCGCAUACGACCUACGGGUGAAAGCAGGGGAUCUUUGCGCCUUGGGCGGAUGACUGAGCCGAUGUCGGAUUAGCUGGUUGGCGGGGUAAAGGCCCACCAAGGCGACGAUCCGUAGCUGGUCUGAGAGGAUGAUCAGCCACACUGGAACUGAGACACGGUCCAGACUCCUACGGGAGGCAGCAGUGGGGAAUAUUGGACAAUGGGCGCAAGCCUGAUCCAGCCAUACCGCGUGGGUGAAGAAGGCCUUCGGGUUGUAAAGCCCUUUUGUUGGGAAAGAAAAGCAGCAGGUUAAUACCCCGCUGUUCUGACGGUACCCAAAGAAUAAGCACCGGCUAACUUCGUG